rnacentral:lncRNA from 1 species
CUUCAACAUAUGAAUCUUGUGGGGACACAUUUCAGCAGUAACAGAAAGACAGACGGCAGCAGCAUGAAGCGGGCCGCUGCCGCCGGGGAAACCUCUGCACGGGAGAGCGGCUACAGCCAAAGCCUUUAAUGGGGAGGCGCUCAGCCUACCCUGGGGAGAGGCUGGUGUUGGGUCCUCGUCCCUCUCUCCCACAAGAGGCCCUAGAGUGAGAACUAAAUGCCUGAGGCCGGAAGGCUCUGUGAGCUGAUUAUCCCUGUGGUCUCUGGGGUGAAGGAACAGUCAGCAGGCCCCAGGCACUGUCCUGUCCUUCCCCUGCCUUAUCAGAGCCUCGACUCCCUUCCGCCUCUAGGCUGUGACCCAGGCUCUCCCCAUGAGCAGUGACUUUGAAGGGGGUAACAUCGCCACCUUUGUUUUAGCUGAGCUCUGCAGCUCUCCAUGUACCCCACCUGGCAGGGAGUGGUUUAGAAAUAGCACCGAGAGUUCAAACAUCACUUCUAUUAUUUUUUCCAGGAGAUUUACUUGUCUGACUGAGUUGGUUUAGGCUGAUAUUCUAGUAAAGACUUUCCUCUCUGAGUGCCAUGUGUUUUCUGAUAAAAGCUGAGGGCGGGUAGGGAAGUGGCUCAGAAACUUUCUGGAAGUCAGAAUUGGCCACAGAUGACAAGUAAGUGCUUUGCCUGGCCCUGGAGCCCACCUCCCCAUCAGUCUUUCACGCAGCCCCAUUAGGUGGGCUAGAGAUCAUCUCAGGGUCCUCUGAUGGUGCACUGCCCUCCCCCAGCAUCCUACAUCUCCCUCUGGGGUCAGUAGUUCUGGGUCUUUCACGGCCUCUUGUCCCCCCAGGCCCAGAAGCCAGCAUUGGAGGGGCAGGAAGGAUGGAUGCUUUAGGUCCAGCUGCCUGCUGCCUUCUGCCCAGCCAGGUCCACAGAGUCCUAGGAUUGCAGAGGUUCCCUGGCUUCUUGGAAAAGGGCUAGAAGGCAGCCACCCUGCUUUUCCUGUGGACUUCAUUAGUCUUGGGAACCCAAGGCAGACAAAUCCCAGAAAAGAAGAGAAGGAAAACUGUGCUCACUGAGCUCCUUUAGGCUGAGUGUUGUGCCGGAUGCCUCUGAUAUCUCAUUUAAUCCUCUCAAGAGCCCUGCAAAGCAGGGGUUGUUUUCUCCAUUUUAUAGAUAGGGAAACUGAGACUCAGGGGCUAAGUAACUGAAUCGCACGUUGAGCGAGUGGUUGUGCUGGGAGCGAAGCCUAGGUCUGCAGGCUUUGGAGCUCUGGUCUACUUCCAGUGAAGCUGGCUGUUCCUCCCAGCUUCACUGUGCCCUUGGCCUUUCUUCCCCUUGGACAGUGGAGGGUGGAGGGUGGGAAAGUCAGUGGGGGCUUCCUCCCCUCCUCUUUCCUUUCAUCUCCAGAGACCUCUUUGUUUUCCCUGAUUCCUGGACACACUGGGCUCAGGGCUCCUGACUGACUGGGCUGCAGCUCUCAGAUCUCCAAUGACUAGGAGGGAAUGAAUGGGUUGUCACCUCUUGACCUGUAUCCCCCACCCCCACUACGUCUCCUACCCCAGCAACCACAAUGGCCUGAGGCUAAUUCAGUGCCGUCAUUGUUGACCGUGGAGAACAAUGCUCAGAGACAGGCUGCUGGCGGGACUGGGUGCAGCCACCUGCUCCUCUCCAGCACUGUUUCUCCCAUGCUAGGAAGUUGGGAGAUGACUUUCCAUGUGUGAGAUAUGAGGGUCCUGAGAGGAGGUGUGAGAGGAGGGAGCAAACGGUAAUCUCCCCAUUCCCCCAUAUCCAAACCAUUUCCCAGUGCCAAGCAAGGCUGUGGGUACUAUGGGCUUCCUCUUACUAGGCUGUGGGUCACAUGGCUCCCCCCUCACUAGCUGUGAGACCGUGGGCAAAGUCACUUAGCUUCUCUGCGUCCUAGUCUUUAAUAUAGGGAUUUACUACCUCCUUCACCAAGUAAUUGAGGGGAAAGCUCUUAGCAUAGUGCCUCAUUCCAUAGAAGACAUCAGUUCUCCCUCUUGCCCCUGCUUUCCUGGUAAUUGGCAGGUGCGCUUGAUCUUUUGGGCCAGCUUGUGCUGGGAGGCAAGGUGCUGUGGGGAGGCACAACCUGGGAGAGCCUUUCCUGAGUCCAGCUGGAGCCAGAGAUAAAGGAGGCCUCCCUGCUUCCCCAGCUGUCUUGCUUCGCUUUGCUUUUUGUAACACGGAGGAAGCUGAAGGCAUUGUGAUUAUCGGCUCCGGGAAGAUAAACUUGAAGGGUGACUUAAUGAGCAUUUGUAAACCUAUCGAAGGUUAUCAUUCAGGGCAGAGUGACCGGCGGACACGCGGAAAUGGGUUUAGUAUGCAGCAAAGGUCUCUGUGAAGAUAAAAUAAGGUAAUGCACAUGCUCCUCACCUAGUCACGUUUUCCUUCCAUUUCUUUCCCUUCUCCUCUUUUCUCUGUCACUCAGCCCUACCCUGAGCAGAGAUCCCUUUCUAAUCAUUGCUGGUGUACAGAUAUAGUUAAGUGUUUGGACUUGAGGAUCCUACUGCCCUACAGCACAGGAGAACCAGGCCUCUGUUCAUUGUGGUAGCCAUUAGCCACAUGUGACUAUUUAAAGUAAAAUGAACAAAAAUGAAAAAUUAGCUCCUCACUAGCCACACGUGGCUAGUGGCUAUUGUAUUAGACAGUGGGGACAGACAUUUCUAUCAUUGCAGAAUGUCCUAUUGGAUAGUGCUGAGUGAGAGGGUGUGAUAUAACCAUGGAACCUGAUAAGCAGAAGGAAAUAAAUUAAUGAGGAAAAAGGAUUUGGUUGGCUGAGAACUGAGUAAAAUAGUAUCCCUCUACUAUUUGAAGCGUCCAUGGGGUUUGGACUCUUGAUGUUGGUUCUCUUCUUCCAUUGGUAGAGUUAAUCCAGUGCACACUUGGUCUAACACUCAAAUGCCAGGAACCUCUGGGGCUGGACUGAGAAAGCUGCCCAAGCAGGCCCUGUGCUCCACGGAUGGGUCAUGGCCAGGCCUUACUGACUAACAGAGUUUGCCUUGUGUUCUAUGGCCCCUAUACAGGUGUGAAUUGUGACGGCUUAGGCCCAGGGAAGCCACAACUGCCCUAGGACUCUUUAUACCAAUACCUGCCACUCUAGACUCUUCCCUUUGUCUCCCAUCCUUGUCACAGAAACCAUAGACAAUCAUAUGGCCUUGCCCUGAUGUCAAUGACAGACUCAUCCCCCAAGCAUAGAUUGUAGUUGUGGCAUGUGGCUCGUAGUCUCUCCCUCCUCUGCUGCAGGCACCGAUCCUACCACUCUUAACCAGGCUGCUCCCUGAGCCUUCGUGGGCUGCUGGGCUCUGGAAUUAUUAGCUUUGUUGCCAACAGCCUGGUGUGCAUGAGUCCUGGGCACCCCUGGACCAAAGCCAUCCAACCUCAGCUGCAUAUUCCCAGUUUAUACAGUUUAUCAGCCCUGCUUUGCUUCCUGACACUCUGACUAGCCUUGUCAGCAUCCCCCUCUGCUCCCCUUGGAGGAAUGGGGCUGGGUGUCUGUACUCCUAAGCUCUGGACUGGGCUCCUGCUCUGAACAUGUCUGUUUCCUGAAACCCCAAUUCUGAAAUCUGUCUGCUCUGCACAUCAAACUGGCCUCAAGAUACCAGCAUUGGGCUGGAUCUUGUAUUUGGAGUAACUCACCCUCCCUGCCCACGUCCCAGCUUCCUGUCCUUUCCCAUCAGCUGUACCAACAGUGGAGGCUCAGCAAGCCUGGCACCUGAGGCCAUGGCUGUUGGACAGGUCUAGGAAGGCCCUGUAGGCUGGCCUACCAUGGGGGGGUUCCCAGACGUCACAGCAAUUAGAGUUCAUAGGAGCUUGGCAGGUGCCAAGGUUAGGAGCCUAUCUGGG